AUUGAACGCUGGCGGCAUGCUUUACACAUGCAAGUCGAACGGUAACAGGCCGCAAGGUGCUGACGAGUGGCGAACGGGUGAGUAAUGCAUCGGAACGUGCCCAGUCGUGGGGGAUAACACAGCGAAAGCUGUGCUAAUACCGCAUACGAUCUAUGGAUGAAAGCGGGGGACCGUAAGGCCUCGCGCGAUUGGAGCGGCCGAUGUCAGAUUAGGUAGUUGGUGGGGUAAAGGCCUACCAAGCCGCCGAUCUGUAGCUGGUCUGGGAGGACGACCGGCCACACGGGGAAUGAGACACGGCCCAGACGCCUACGGGAGGCAGCAGUGGGGAAUUUUUGACAAUGGGCGCAAGCCUGAUCCAGCAAUGCCGCGUGCAGGAAGAAGGCCUUCGGGUUGUAAACUGCUUUUGUACGGAACGAAACGGUCUGGGUUAAUACCCUGGGCUAAUGACGGUACCGUAAGAAUAAGCACCGGCUAACUACGUGCCAGCCGCCGCCGUAAAAC
rnacentral:rRNA from 1 species